rnacentral:rRNA from 1 species
GACGAACGCUGGCGGCGCGCCUAACACAUGCAAGUCGAACGAGCGAGAGAGAGCUUGCUUUCUUGAGCGAGUGGCGAACGGGUGAGUAACGCGUGAGGAACCUGCCUCAAAGAGGGGGACAACAGUUGGAAACGACUGCUAAUACCGCAUAAGCCCACGACCCGGCAUCGGGUUGAGGGAAAAGGAGCAAUCCGCUUUGAGAUGGCCUCGCGUCCGAUUAGCUAGUUGGUGAGGUAACGGCCCACCAAGGCGACGAUCGGUAGCCGGACUGAGAGGUUGAACGGCCACAUUGGGACUGAGACACGGCCCAGACUCCUACGGGAGGCAGCAGUGGGGAAUAUUGCACAAUGGGGGAAACCCUGAUGCAGCGACGCCGCGUGGAGGAAGAAGGUCUGCGGAUUGUAAACUCCUGUUGUUGAGGAAGAUAAUGACGGUACUCAACAAGGAAGUGACGGCUAACUACGUG